rnacentral:rRNA from 1 species
AGGUCUUGACAUCCCGAUGCUAUUUCUAGAGAUAGAAAGUUACUUCGGUACAUCGGAGACAGGUGGUGCAUGGUUGUCGUCAGCUCGUGUCGUGAGAUGUUGGGUUAAGUCCCGCAACGAGCGCAACCCUUACGUUCAGUUGCUAACGGUUUAAAGCCGAGCACUCUGGAUGAACUGCCGUUGAUAAAACGGAGGAAGGUGGGGAUGACGUCAAAUCAUCAUGCCCCUUAUACCCUGGGCUACACACGUGCUACAAUGGUCCGUACAGAGGGCUGCGACUCGGCGACGGGAAGCGAAUCCCUUAAAGCGGAUCUCAGUUCGGAUUGCAGGCUGCAACCCGCCUGCAUGAAGUCGGAAUCGCUAGUAAUCGCAGGUCAGCAUACUGCGGUGAAUACGUUCCCGGGCCUU